UACGUAGGAUCCGAGCGUUAUCCGAAUUUACUGGGCGUAAAGCGUGUGCAGGCGGUUUGGUAAGUUGGAUAUGAAAUCUUUUGGCUCAACUGAGAGAGGCUAUUCAAAACUACCAGACUUGAGGACAGUAGAGGGAGGUGGAAUUCCCGGUGUAGUAGUGAAAUGCGUAGAUAUCGGGAGGAACACCAGUGGCGAAAGCGGCCUCCUGGACUGUUUCUGACGCUCAGACACGAAAGCUAGGGGAG
rnacentral:rRNA from 1 species